rnacentral:lncRNA from 1 species
UCUCCGAAUCUAUAAGCUUUGGCCUGCCUUCUUCCCUUAUCUAAUCUAUUAGGUAAUAAGAAAGUGGUGUUAAUUGUCACGAUAAGGAGCUGACCAGUGACAUUUCUGUCUCAAUUGAAGUCAACCUUACUAUACUCGCUUGUAGGAGAUCAUCGCUCAGAAGGGCGUUCUUUCGCUAGAAAAACAAGAGUUUGAAGAUCACCCAACCCACGAAAAGGUCAGAACUCUCGAUCUAGCCCCACUUUCUACAGCAAUUUAUCGACAUGUUGUUUCAAAUGUCCUUGAAAAGGCUACACACAUACCCUGCCAAUCGAUGUGUAGUGGGUUUGUUCAGUGGAGAUGGGUAGAGUGCACAAGUAUUGGAAGGAAAGUUUCACCCUUCUUAAAAGAGAAAAAGUCUGUAUUGAACUAUGAUUUGAAUUCCUUUCUUAUUAGUUUCCAAGUGCAAAAUGUUCAUUGCCUUGAUCAGAGCCUUUAAGCCUUUUAGAAGCGAUCAUUUCCGCAACUUCUAUUUUUCCUAAAGCUAAUGAACCGAAUGGAAGAGAAAAACUUGGAAUAAAUAAUAAAGAAGGAACCAACAAGAAAAUAAAGAAUUGUUCCAACCUCGGCUCGGGGUCUGUCUGGAAAUGGAAAAUAGUUCUCUCUCUCAUCUGGUCUCGCCACAGUGACAAGAAAAACAAGUGAAUAAUUGGAAUAGAACAC